rnacentral:rRNA from 1 species
GAUGAACGCUGGCGGCGUGCCUAAUACAUGCAAGUCGAGCGAACGGACGAGAAGCUUGCUUCUCUGAUGUUAUCGGCGGACGGGUGAGUAACACGUGGAUAACCUACCUAUAAGACUGGGAUAACUUCGGGAAACCGGAGCUAAUACCGGAUAAUAUUUUGAACCGCAUGGUUCAAAAGUGAAAGACGGUCUUGCUGUCACUUAUAGAUGGAUCCGCGCUGCAUUAGCUAGUUGGUAAGGUAACAGCUUACCAAGGCAACGAUGCAUAGCCGACCUGAGAGGGUGAUCGGCCACACUGGAACUGAGACACGGUCCAGACUCCUACGGGAGGCAGCAGUAGGGAAUCUUCCGCAAUGGGCGAAAGCCUGACGGAGCAACGCCGCGUGAGUGAUGAAGGUCUUCGGAUCGUAAAACUCUGUUAUUAGGGAAGAACAUAUGUGUAAGUAACUGUGCACAUCUUGACGGUACCUAAUCAGAAAGCCACGGCUAACUACGUG